rnacentral:rRNA from 1 species
UGAACGCUGGCGGUAGGCCUAACACAUGCAAGUCGAACGGCAGCACAGUAAGAGCUUGCUCUUACGGGUGGCGAGUGGCGGACGGGUGAGGAAUACAUCGGAAUCUACUUUUUCGUGGGGGAUAACGUAGGGAAACUUACGCUAAUACCGCAUACGACCUACGGGUGAAAGCAGGGGAUCUUCGGACCUUGCGCGAUUGAAUGAGCCGAUGUCGGAUUAGCUAGUUGGCGGGGUAAAGGCCCACCAAGGCGACGAUCCGUAGCUGGUCUGAGAGGAUGAUCAGCCACACUGGAACUGAGACACGGUCCAGACUCCUACGGGAGGCAGCAGUGGGGAAUAUUGGACAAUGGGCGCAGGCCUGAUCCAGCCAUACCGCGUGGGUGAAGAAGGCCUUCGGGUUGUAAAGCCCUUUUGUUGGGAAAGAAAAGCAGCAGGUUAACACCCCGCUGUUCUGACGGUACCCAAAGAAUAAGCACCGGCUAACUUCGUG